rnacentral:rRNA from 1 species
UACGGAGGGUGCGAGCGUUAUCCGGAUUCACUGGGUUUAAAGGGUGCGUAGGUGGGCAUGUAAGUCAGUGGUGAAAUCUCUGGGCUUAACUCAGAAACUGCCAUUGAUACUAUGUUUCUUGAAUUUUCUGGAGGUCAGCGGAAUAUGUCAUGUAGCGGUGAAAUGCUUAGAUAUGACAUAUAACACCAAUUGCGAAGGCAGCUGGCUACAGGGAUAUUGACACUGAGGCACGAAAGCGUGGGGAUCAAACAGG